rnacentral:rRNA from 1 species
AAACUCGUCGGCCAAAAGGGACUUCGGCCUCUCNGUCAAGAUAUGCCUAGGUGGAUUAGCUAGUUGGUGAGGUAAUGGCUCACCAAGGCGCGGAUCCCUAGCUGGUCUGAGAGGAUGAUCAGCCACACUGGAACUGAGACACGGUCCAGACUCCUACGGGAGGCAGCAGUGGGGAAUAUUGCACAAUGGGCGAAAGCCUGAUGCAGCCAUGCGGCGUGUAUGAAGAAGGCCUUCGGGUUGUAAAGUACUUUCAGUUGUGAGGAAGGGGGUAACGUUAAUAGCGUUAUCUCUUGACGUUAGCAACAGAAGAA